rnacentral:rRNA from 1 species
AUUGAACGCUGGCGGCAGGCCUAACACAUGCAAGUCGAGCGGAUGAAGGGAGCUUGCUCCUGGAUUCAGCGGCGGACGGGUGAGUAAUGCCUAGGAAUCUGCCUGGUAGUGGGGGAUAACGUCCGGAAACGGGCGCUAAUACCGCAUACGUCCUGAGGGAGAAAGUGGGGGAUCUUCGGACCUCACGCUAUCAGAUGAGCCUAGGUCGGAUUAGCUAGUUGGUGGGGUAAAGGCCUACCAAGGCGACGAUCCGUAACUGGUCUGAGAGGAUGAUCAGUCACACGGGAACUGAAACACGGUCAGGACUCCGCGGGGGGGAGGCGGUGGGAAUUUUUGGACAAGGGGCAAAGGCUGAAUCCACCCAGGCGGGGGGGGGAAGAAGGUUUUUGGAUUUUAAAACUAUUUUAUGUGGGGAGAAAGGGAAGAAAUUUAAUACCUUCUUUUUUUGAGUUGCCCAAAAAAAAAAGCCCGGGCUAACUCCGUG